rnacentral:rRNA from 1 species
GGCAGCAGUGAGGAAUAUUGGACAAUGGAUGGAAAUCUGAUCCAGCCAUGCCGCGUGCAGGAAGACGGCCCUAUGGGUUGUAAACUGCUUUUGUAUGGGAGCAAUAAGGUCUAUGCGUAGACUGAUGAGAGUACCAUACGAAUAAGCAUCGGCUAACUCCGUGCCAGCAGCCGCGGUAAUACGGGGGAUGCAAGCGUUAUCCGGAUUUAUUGGGUUUAAAGGGUGCGUAGGCGGUUUGAUAAGUCAGCGGUGAAAUAUUUCAGCUUAACUGAAAGGGUGCCGUUGAUACUGUCAGGCUUGAAUAUGGUUGCUGUGGGUGGAAUGUGUGGUGUAGCGGUGAAAUGCUUAGAUAUCACACAGAAUAUCGAUUGCGAAGGCAGCUCACAAAGCCAUUAUUGACGCUGAUGCACGAAAGUGUGGGGAUCAAACAGGAUUAGAUACCCUGGUAGUCCACACUGUAAACGAUGAUAACUCGCUGUCGGCGAUACACAGUCGGUAGCCAAGCGAAAGCGAUAAGUUAUCCACCUGGGGAGUACGACCGCAAGGUUGAAACUCAAAGGAAUUGACGGGGGCCCGCACAAGCGGAGGAACAUGUGGUUUAAUUCGAUGAUACGCGAGGAACCUUACCCGGGCUCGAACGGUGCAGGAAUACGUCAGAGAUGAUGUAGCUAGCAAUAGUCUGUAUCGAGGUGCUGCAUGGUUGUCGUCAGCUCGUGCCGUGAGGUGUCGGCUUAAGUGCCAUAACGAGCGCAACCCUUGUCGUUAGUUGCCAUCAGGUAAUGCUGGGAACUCUAGCGAGACUGCCACCGUAAGGUGUGAGGAAGGGGGGGAUGACGUCAAAUCAGCACGGCCCUUACGUCCGGGGCGACACACGUGUUACAAUGGUAGGUACAGAGGGCAGCUACCCAGCAAUGGGGUGCGAAUCUCAAAAGCCUAUCUCAGUUCGGAUCGGAGUCUGCAACUCGACUCCGUGAAGUUGGAUUCGCUAGUAAUCGCGCAUCAGCCAUGGCGCGGUGAAAGCUAACCCGGGCCUUGUACACACCGCC